rnacentral:rRNA from 1 species
UUAGUGGCGGACGGGUGAGUAACGCGUGGAAAACCUGCCGUAUACGUGGGGGAUAACACUUAGAAAUAGGUGCUAAUACCGCAUAAGCGCACAGCUUCGCAUGAAGCGGUGUGAAAAACUCUGGUGGUAUACGAUGGUUCCGCGUCUGAUUAGCUAGUUGGUGGGGUAAUGGCCUACCAAGGCAACGAUCAGUAGCCGGCCUGAGAGGGUGAACGGCCACAUUGGGACUGAGACACGGCCCAAACUCCUACGGGAGGCAGCAG